GACGUAGGGGCGAGCGUUGUCCGGAAUUACUGGGCGUAAAGAGCACGUAGGCGGGAACUUAAGUCAGGUGUGAAAGACCGUGGCUCAACCACGGGUAUGCAUUUGAAACUGGGUUCCUUGAGGGCAGGAGAGGAAAGCAGAAUUCCUGGUGUAGCGGUGAAAUGCGUAGAAAUCAGGAGGAAUACCAGUGGCGAAGGCGGCUUUCUGGACUGACCCUGACGCUGAGGUGCGAAAGCGUGGGUAGCAAACAGGAUUAGAUACCCCGGUAGUCCCUGAGCGGG
rnacentral:rRNA from 1 species